UACGUAGGGCGCAAGCGUUGUCCGGAAUUAUUGGGCGUAAAGAGCUCGUAGGCGGCUCAGUUAGUCGGGUGUGAAACCCCCGGGCUCAACCCGGGGACGCCACCCGAUACUGCUGUGGCUAGAGUCCGGUAGGGGAGCGUGGAAUUCCUGGUGUAGCGGUGAAAUGCGCAGAUAUCAGGAGGAACACCAGCGGCGAAGGCGGCGCUCUGGGCCGGAACUGACGCUGAGGAGCGAAAGCGUGGGGAGCGAACAGG
rnacentral:rRNA from 1 species